GAUGAACGCUGGCGGCGUGCUUAACACAUGCAAGUCGAACGGAAAGGCCCAAGCUUGCUUGGGUACUCGAGUGGCGAACGGGUGAGUAACACGUGGGUGAUCUGCCCUGCACUUCGGGAUAAGCCUUGGAAACUGGGUCUAAUACCGGAUAGGACCACUUCUUGGAUGUUGUGGUGGAAAGUUUUUUCGGUGUGGGAUGAGCUCGCGGCCUAUCAGCUUGUUGGUGGGGUAAUGGCCUACCAAGGCGUCGACGGGUAGCCGGCCUGAGAGGGUGUACGGCGACAUUGGGACUGAGAGACGGCCCAGACUCCUACGGGAGGCAGCAGGGGGGAAGAUUGAACAAGGGGCGCAAGCCUGAUGCAGCGACGCCGCGGGGGGGAAGACGGCCUUCGGGUUGUAAAAUCCUUUCGCUAGGGACGAAGCGUUUUGUGACGGUACCUGGAGAAGAAGCACCGGCUAACUACGUG
rnacentral:rRNA from 1 species